UGUUAUAUCAUGUUUCAUUAUUGUCUUGUUCCACAACAUGGGUUGCUUGCGAGUACAUUCAAAGUACUCAUUGACUUUCCACUGGUUAUUUCAUUGACCAGGUAAGAGAGAACAGGAGAUGGUGUAGAAUACCUUCGUGACGUUCCUUCGAGUUAGGACGCUUCUCGGUCAGAAUGCCUGUAGGUUAAGGCUAAUGGCAUGGGUUCACGCUUUCAACCAAGAUUUCCGCUAUUAGUUGAGUUAGGUGUGUUGGCCUUCAAGGCCCUAUCUAUGUAAGAC
rnacentral:lncRNA from 1 species